CUGGGUGACUCCAUGAGAGCUUGCAUCCAUUAAAAAAAGAGAGAGAGAUAGAGAAAGGAAAAAAAAGAAAAGGGCUCACAUAUGUGCAGAGCAGAGAGCUGUUUAAAUGACCUGCAAACAAUUCUGUGUGCCCCCCAUAACUUGCUCUGAAUCUCCAACACUUAGACCCUCUGCCAUGAUGUUGUUGGUUGGGGAGGUUUUUGGUCUGGGUCUCUAGCUUUUAUUUCCACCACAAACACCAUGCCUCUUGAGCAACCUUCCUGGAAUCCCAACCUAGUACUGUUCUUAGUUGUGAAAACUUAACGUGGCAGUAAAUUUUAAUUAAAUAUCUGCCCUCAGUUUUCCCUUUAAAUGUUUUUGCUGCAAAGGUAUUUUUCCCACUGCCAACUGAAACUUCUGAAACCAUGCAGGGUGUAUAAAGACAGCAGGUGAUGUACAUGGCAAACAUAUGAAUGUAUCAGUCAGGAUAAGCUGGGGUUUGCUGUGAAAACAAUCAGACCCCAGAUCCCAGCAGUUUAAAAAGAAAGGCUGAUGUCUCAUCAUGAAGCCAGUCACAUCAUGACUUCAUUACAGGUUGGCUGCCACUCCGCUCCAUGCUGGCGGUGCCCUGGGACCCAGGCUAAAUGAGUGUCCUCUUUCUGCAACCUGCUGGUGCAAUAUGAUAUCAGCACCCCAUCUUCCUGCCCCUCAACUGCACGGUGUCUUUGCUUCCAUCCAGACGUGGAAAAAGCCUGACGGUGGGUAUUCCAUCGCAGGAGGCAGCCCGCAAGCCUGGCAUUCCAGUUCUCCAAAAGACCCUACGGAGCAAGGAUAAUGUGUGAGGAACAUUUUCUUUCAGUCCCGCCCUUGUGUUUGAAACCAAGCCACACAUAAAAUCUCCAGCUCAAGCCCAGGCCUGCCCGGCCCUGGCCAAGCCACACUCUCCCCUGGAGAGCCCCCUCCUCCCAAGUACCCUGGGUGGCCCAGCCCUCCGGAGACAUCUCUCAGGAGAGCAGAGGCCCCUCCAUCCCAUCUGGAUCCCAGAGCCCAACCGUCUUGGCUGAGGCUGCCCAGGGUAGGGUGUCAGUCAAACUAAAGAAUAUUCUUUUAAUACUGAAUAACCAUGUAGGGCUGGCAGGGAUCCCUCCG
rnacentral:lncRNA from 1 species